rnacentral:lncRNA from 1 species
CUAGAUAUGUAACUAUUAUUUGCGAACUUGUUGUGAAGUAUCCAUCAUUGAGAUGCAUUAUGAUUAUGAGGUCUAAAUCAAUCGGUGGGAAUAUGGCAACAAGAGAGAAAGAUGAAGAACAAAUAAAGAAAGAGAUGGAUGGGAAACGUAGAAAAGUUCUUAAAAGAGAAGGAAGAGUGUGUGAACUGAGCUUUAAGCCUCUUGUCUCAAUCAAUCCAUAUAAUACAAACUUUUGUACGUAUAGCUAUAGACAUGUAGCAUCCAAAGUAGGGGAGAGUUCGAGAAAAUAAUAAUACCAACAAAUAAU